rnacentral:lncRNA from 1 species
CCCUUGUUCUCUGCUUGUCUCUUCCCUCACUUUCAAGGGCAGAGCAGUGCCAAGGACAGAAGAGAGGGCAGACCCCUCACCAGACUCAGCGUUGGUCCUGGGCCCUGCCAGGUUGGACAGCUCGAGGUGGCAUCAGCAGGGCUCCCGGAGGAAGGCAAGUGUGCUUUCUCUUCCCACGAGCUUUAAUCAAGUUCAGGGUCUUUCAGCCCCAGGGCUCUGAGUGGCGACCCUGGCUCCAGGCAGCUCAGCUGAUCUCCAGAUGGCUCAGCAAGAGGGACACGGAUGAAGCUCUUCACGCUCCGAGGCUCUUCCCUGAGGAGAUGGUCUGCUUCCUUUUGAUCGUGGACUCGACCGGUCGAGAGAGAGAGAGAGAGAGAGAGAGAGAGAGAGAGGGGCCCAAAGUGUGGGUGUGGGUGUGAGUGUGAGAGACCUAAGGGGUGGAGAGUGUGUGUAAGAAUGUGUGUGAGAGAGGCCCAAGGUGUAUGGGGUGUGUGUGUAAGUGUGUGAGUGAGAGAGACCCAAGGUGUGAGAUGGGUAUGAGUUUGAGUGUGUGUAUGAGUGUGAGUGUCUGUGCACACGUGUGUGUGGUAUAGACAGGGAACAAGAGAGAAAUGUGAUGCAGAGAAUCAGAACCUUCCUCAGAGAGUGCUGGGGGCUAAAUGACCUGAAAAGCACUUGGAAUAGUACCUGGCACACCGUAGGGGCCGUGCGGAUGAUUCUUACUAUGAUGGAGGCAGAGAGACACAGAGAGAGCCACCUUGACGUCCUCAGGAGGAAAAUUAGAUUUGCACCAAACACGAGUGGGAAAGGGAGAGGCCGAAAAUGCCUGAUGCUGCUCGGCUCCAUGAGCCCUGUGAUGUGGGAGGCAGGAUGUCUUCAAAUGUCUGGAUGAGGAAAUGAAGAUCCAGAGAAAAGGUGAUGCACAGAAGCCAGAGCAAGAACUCGGUGCCCUGACUCAUGGUCCUGGGCUGUUCCUAUGGUUCAGUUCCGCUUUCCAGAACUCUGGUCUCACCGAAACCAUGUAC